GGGAAAUGAGGAGUGGUAUAAGCUCGCAAUUUAUUAUGCGAGAGGGGUGCCUGCCCCAACUAAGCCUGUUACGACAACAGGGGCACCCCAAUGAAUUUACCAUCUGAUCCC